CCUAAGGUAGCGAAAUUCCUAGUCGGGUAAGUUCCGACCCGCACGAAUGGUGUAACAACAUGGGCGCUGUCUCAACGGGGGGCUCGGCGAAAUUGUAGUAGCGGUGAAGAUGCCGCUUACCCGCAGGUAGACGAAAAGACCCCGGAACCUUUACUGUACCCUGGUAUUGGAUUUUGGUCCGGUAUGUGUAGGAUAGGUGGGAGGCUGUGAAGUCCUGACGCUAGUUGGGAUGGAGCCGACGGUGAAAUACCACUCUUAUCGUACUAAAGUUCUAACCCUGAACCAUGAAGCUGGUCAGGGGACAAUGCCAGGCGGGCAGUUUAACUGGGGCGGUUUCCUCCUAAAGAGUAACGGAGGAGUCCAAAGGUUCCCUCAGUGCGGUCGGCAAUCGCACGUUGAGUGUAAAGGCAUAAGGGAGCUUGACUGUGAGUCCGACAGGACGAGCAGGGGAGAAAUCCGGGCUUAGUGAUCCGGCGGUGGAAAGUGGAAUCGCCGUCGCUCAACGGAUAACAGGUACUCCGGGGAUAACAGGCUUAUCGGUCCCGAGAGUUCAUAUCGACGGACCGGUUUGGCACCUCGAUGUCGGCUCACCGCAUCCUGGGGCUGGAGAAGGUCCCAAGGGUCCGGCUGUUCGCCGGUUAAAGCGGUACGCGAGCUGGGUUUAGAACGUCGUGAGACAGUUCGGUCUCUAUCUCCUGUGGGCGCAGGAUACCUGAGGGGAGUUCUCCUUAGUACGAGAGGACCAGGAGGAACGAACCUCUGGUGUACCAGUUGUUCCGUCCGGAGCAGAAGCUGGGUAGCCAUGUUCGGUCGGGAUAAACGCUGAAAGCAUCUAAGCGUGAAGCCCACCCCAAGAAGAGGUAUCCCUGAAGGCAUCCCGUAGACUACGGGCUUGAUAGGUCCCAAGUGUAAGCACCGUAAGGUGUUGAGCUUAGGGAUACUAAGGAAGCCGUUUGGCUUGACCAC
rnacentral:rRNA from 1 species